rnacentral:lncRNA from 1 species
UAAGCUGUUUAACAUGUUGAAGGGUGGGUUGUGUGAGCCAAGAGUGGCACUUUACCGACAAGGAUUGAUUUUCUUUCAGAAGCGGAAGCAUUAUCACCACCUCAGAAACCAUCAGAAUGCAAUUGUCAGUAAUCUUUGUCAGAUAAGAGAUGCUUGGCUCAGUUGCCCUGGGUAUAGCAUUGAGGAGAAGCUUCAAGUGCUGAACAUUAAGAAGAAUGAGAAGAUUUUAAUGUAUGAGAAAAUGGAAGAACUGGAAAGUGAUGGAUCCGAGAGAGAGGAGUUCAGUGAUACUUUAUGGGGCAAAAGAACAAAAGAUCGUAAUCUUGGACAGAAUAUGGGCUAUUCUGGAUACGAGAUAGGGUCAGCCUUGGAUACAUCAUCUAGACAAAUGGCUUUGGAAGCUACGAGAUACAAAAGGAAGAACCUAAAAGGAACUCUCAAGGUAGGUGGAACAAAGGGUUCUGCCACUAAAGGAAGANCCUUUUUAGUCUUUUCAUUUCUCAAUCCAACGGCAAUGCCACCAUCCACGUCAUCUUCAUCUUCAUCUUCUUCGUCCUCCUUUUUUCCCCUUUUUUUCUUGCAUAGUAUAAUCUACUUUGCUCUUUCCAAACACCCGCAUAGCAUAGUAUAACCGCCUCUUUCUCUUAGGGUUUUCUUUCUCUUUCCCUCACAUUAGCUACAAGGAAUUUUGGGUCGCCGUUUUAUUCCCUUUCCGUUUCUUGCUUUUGGGUUCAUCCGUUCUCAAGGUAAUUUCUUCUAAUUCAUCUGUGAUUUUUUUCUCUUUACACUUAUUAUGUGAUAUAUGUGUAUGGGUGUGUUUAUUUUUGUUUUUGCGAUGUGGGUUUUUGAUUUUUUGUGUUUUCUUGUUAUGGGUAUGGAGAAUUUCUGAAUUUUUUGCGUUUUGGUUGAUUUUUUAUUUUUAGGGUUUUGAAUUUGGAUUGGAAGGGGGUCGGUUUAUUUGUUUGGGCGUUGGUUUUAUGUUGAAUGGUGAUCGAAAAGGGAAGCUUUAAGGCAUCACGAAUUGAUUCAGAAUUUUCUCCUCUUAGUAGGGACAGUAUGUCGAGUGAGGAUGAGGAGUUUCAGAGAAGAAACGGAGGUGAAGUUGAAUCUAAUGGCGAGGAUGAUGAUGAUGAUUUCGAUGAUUGUGAUUCAGGGGCGGGAUCAGACGACUUUGAUUUGUUGGAAUUAGGGGAGUCUAAGGAGGAGUUUUGUCAAAUUGGGGAUCAAACAUGUAGCAUUCCUUUUGAAUUGUAUGAUCUUUCGGGGUUGGGUGAUGUGUUGUCAUUGGAUGUUUGGAAUGAGGUGUUGUCUGAGGAAGAAAGGUUUAAUCUUGCUCAGUACCUUCCUGAUAUGAACCAGGAAACGUUUAUGCAAACGUUGAAAGACCUCCUCACGGGUAAUAAUAUGCAUUUUGGAAGUCCCCUUGAUAAGCUGUUUAACAUGUUGAAGGGUGGGUUGUGUGAGCCAAGAGUGGCACUUUACCGACAAGGAUUGAUUUUCUUUCAGAAGCGGAAGCAUUAUCACCACCUCAGAAACCAUCAGAAUGCAAUUGUCAGUAAUCUUUGUCAGAUAAGAGAUGCUUGGCUCAGUUGCCCUGGGUAUAGCAUUGAGGAGAAGCUUCAAGUGCUGAACAUUAAGAAGAAUGAGAAGAUUUUAAUGUA